GAACCCUGCAGCUCUCCAUAGACUGAGCACUGAACCCUGCAGCUCUCCAUAGACUGAACACUGAACCCUGCAGCUCUCCAUAGACUGAGCACUGAACCCUGCAGUUCUCCAUAGACUGAACACUGAACCCUGCAGCUCUCCAUAGACUGAGCACUGAACCAUCCAGCUCUCCAUAGACUGAACACUGAACCCUGCAGCUCUCCAUAGACUAAACACCGAACCAUCCAGCUCUCCAUAGACUGAGCACUGAACUAUAUAGUUGUUUAUAAGUUAAAAUAGUCCUCUUUAAUCACUACUCCACAGACUGAUGAUGGAACACUCCAGCACUGCGGAGACAUAAAUUCAAACCUGGCAGUAGUAAACCCAGCUGCUCUUAUUGAACUAAGCUCUGUCAAUCACUGAACAGAACCAUGCAACUAACUGAGCAGCUCUCUGCACUGAACCCCCCAUCUCUAAAUG